rnacentral:misc_RNA from 1 species
AUUAAUUUUGAGAAUUUUUAUUGAGUCUUAUGAUUCGAUCCGAUUCUCGAUUCACAAAAUUAAGAUUUUGAUUCUCGAUUCGAAUCUCGAUUUGCCAACUAUGUUUACAAUAUCAUUUGAAUUGGAAGGUGACAAAUAAAUUUAAAGCCGUAUUUAUGUCACCUUACUUAAGUAAAAUUUUUCUAAUAUAUAGUUCCAUAGGCUACAAAAUUAUUAUUUUUUAUGAUCACAUAAAAAUUUGCAUAAAUUUUACAAAAACUUAGUAAAAGUGAUCUAGUGAAACAAAAUGAAAGUUAAGUAGUUUGCUUAUACAAAUUGAAAUUUAUUGUUCAUUUUAAAACUUGAUGAUAUGUUUAGUGCACAUGAGUGAAACUAACCCUUAUUAUUAUCCCCACUCAAUUAACUUAAACCUCGUUUGUUGACAUGUGCCUUUUCAUUAGAAAUUUAUUUAUCAAGAAGUAGCAUUUACUGGAAGUUGCUAGAAAAUUGUAUUUCUUAAUGUUUGGGUCCUCCACUUUCUCAAUAAUUUUGCAUUUGAUUCAUUUACUAAUUUACUAGGAGGUAUAUUAGCAAUUAGAUCUGUGCUAAUUAGUUAAAACUUAUUUUGGGGGUAGUAUUUGAAUUUAGUGCAGAAAAUUUUCUCUCACUUCCAUACAAGAAUUUGAACUAACUAACCCUUUUAGUUACUUCAGUAGAAUCAAUGAAGCUGAGUGAUAAAAACAAAAAUUAAGACUUCACUUUAACUUCGUAUUUAGGCCUUGUACUGCAUUACAAUUUGAGAAGUUGAGUGAUAAAAAAGAAAUACAUUUUAACCAAUGACUUUGUAUUUCUAAGCCUUAGACUACAUGGUAGGUGGUGUCGUUAAACAAAACUUACCACCAAGCACGUUGGGAUUUGAACUUCGAAGGAUAACUUUGAAACAUUAGGUUAUCCCCUUGGUUUUGAACAUACGAGGCGGACCAAUAUAGGAUUAUAUUCUUUAUUGAUUUGGGAAUUGUCACUUUAAUCAUUUAGAAUAUAGCGAGUCUUGUACCUUCUUUGUUAUUUGGGUACUCAUGCAUUGUUGUAAUGGUCUCCCUUCUGUUGGUACUAAUGUUUAAUGGUUUGCCUUCAUCAGAUUGCAAGACAUUCAGGGAAAUGUUUCAAGAAGUAGCUGAAUUCCAAAAAACAAAGGAGGAAAAUAAAGAUGCAACUGCUGCUGCUGAUGCCUUUAAUAAGUUGAGCGUUGAAGAAAAGAAAACUGAGGAGACAACUGAAGAAGAGGUGCCAGCUGAAGCUGAGGAGGCAGCAACUAAGGCUGAUGCAGAGAAUAAAGUUAAGGAGCCUCCUUCCUCAACCUGAGAAUGUUGGUUCCAUACUUUGGCAAUAUGAUGAGGUCUACCCCAAUUCUCGCCCCAUU